rnacentral:rRNA from 1 species
CGAAGGCUCUAGCUUGCUAGAUGUCCUUAGUGGCGAACGGGUGAGUAACGCGUGGGAAUCUGCCAUAGAGUGGGGAACAACUUUUGGAAACGAAAGCUAAUACCGCAUACGCCCUCCGGGGGAAAGGCUUCGGCCGCUCUUUGAUGAUCCCGCGUCUGAUUAGCUUGUUGGUAAGGUAAUGGCUUACCAAGGCGACGAUCAGUAGCUGGUCUGAGAGGAUGAUCAGCCACACUGGGACUGAGACACGGCCCAGACUCCUACGGGAGGCAGCAGUGGGGAAUAUUGGACAAUGGGGGAAACCCUGAUCCAGCAAUGCCGCGUGAGUGAAGAAGGCCUUAGGGUUGUAAAACUCUUUCGCCGGUGAAGAUGAUGACUGUAGCCGGUAAAGAAGCCCCGGCUAACUCCGUGCCAGCAGCCGCGGUAAUACGGAGGGGGCUAGCGUUGUUCGGAUUUACUGGGCGUAAAGCGCACGUAGGCGGCAUAUUAAGUUAGAGGUGAAAGGCCUGGGCUCAACCUAGGAACUGCCUUUAAUACUGGUAUGCUUGAGUUCGGAAGAGGGUAGUGGAAUUCAAAGUGUAGAGGUGAAAUUCGUAGAUAUUUGGAAGAAC